rnacentral:lncRNA from 1 species
AAUAAGGGGAUGAGAGAAUGUCGUCGCAGGAUAGAGGGCACUGCCUGUGAUUCACGAAUGCAGACAUGUUUAUAGCCAGUGUCUCUAUUUUCCGACAAUAUUCUCUUCAACCUCUGUCACAGUAUCUUUGUUUUGUUGGUACCAUGGAAGAUUUACGAGGUUUGUAUUUCAUAUCCAACUUUUAUCACUGUACUUUUCUGAACUUUGAACUAUCACUUAAUGCAGAUCAUUUCAAGCUUUUUAGUUUAGCUUUUGCUUUGCAUUAGUUAUAGUUUUUUUAUUUAUUUAAAAUAACUUAUUUAAAUCUGCAAUUUUUUACUCAAAUUAAGCUUCAUAUUUAUCUUGUUGAGAGUUAUAUAAAAAAGAAUUAACGGAAACCAAGUCAUAUUUAAAUUGUUGUGAUUGAACUGCUAUGUUCUUAAUGAGAUAGAAAUUGAUGAUAAAAGCAUAGUUGUGAAUUACAUCAAUUUUAUUAAUUAUAUUUUUUAGUAAAGAGAUCAACAUUUAAUCCUCUAACAUACAUUUUAUGUAAUUUAACAUAUAACUUCUAAAAUGUAUAUUAAGUUGUGUAACCUAUACUUUGACCUUUAUGAAGUUAUGAUAGACUUUUACACAAAAACAUGCAAUUAAAACUUUAUCUGCUAUUUCACAGUAACGUUUUUUUCUCAAACUAUCACAUAAACCUUUGAAUCAUUCCUUUCACCAUUCAUGAAUAAUUUUGGAAAAAGAACUCUACUUAUUUGCAUAUUUGUCUUAAUGAAUAGUUUUAUUUAUUUAUAAUUUUUUUUCUUUAUAUUACUAAUUUUUUGUACAUGGUCGGUGAAAACAUGUUUUAAUGGAUUAAUAUGAAUGGUAAGAAAAAUAAAAAAUUAUAAUUAUUGAUCAUUCUAAUAUAAUCGUUUCAUGUAUAAGAAACAAAUCUUAAAGUGUUAAAAUUGAGAGGCCUGUUUCUUAAAAGUGACAAAAAAUUGAUGUUUUGUAUUUUAGCUUCUCAUGACCAUAGAAAAAGGGUUUCGAAAAUUUAGCACAUCAAUCUAUUUAAGUUGAUGUUUUUAUUUUUAUUAUAUAAAAAAAGACAAAAUUGGAAAGUAAAAUAAAUAUAAUAUAAAAAAUAUCAUACCAAAAUAAUAUAUAAAUUCUCAUUACAAUUUCAUUAAUAUAUUUCAUUUUAUUUUAUAUUAUAUUAAAUUAAUUUCCAAAUAAUUAGUCGAAAUAAAUUAGUUUUAUCAUGAUUAAAAAAAUAACACAAGAUUGUCUCACUAAGUAAUAUUUAUUCAUUUAAAUUCUUAAAAUUAAACCUCUUAGUAGAGUGCCAUCAAUAUUAACGAUCUUUUUUUUUCAAAUGUUUAGAUUUUUUUAUCAUAUUCAUUUCUCAAUAACAAAUAAUAAAUAUUAAAAUUAAAAACAUACGUAAUAUAAACAUAAAAUGAAUGUGUAAUUUUGUAACAUUAAAAUAAUAACUUUUCUACUAUUUUUCUUGUCCUUGUGAUCUAGAAAAUAAGUGUAUGGUUUGGGCUGCUUUUUUCUAUUUCAUGAUUUUCUUGUAGUGAUUGUUACGUUGCAUACAAAUUUAUUGUAUAAAUCAGAGUUUCUUGUAUAGAUAUCUGUAUUUCACCUUGUUCUGUACAAUAUAUAUUCAAUCAAGAUUAUUAAUUUACAUGGUUAAUCUUAUACUUAUUUAAUUUAUUUAUUUUCUCUAAUAAUAUGUAUAUUUGUUACUUUCUUUUUGUUUCCAUCACAGGUUUAAACCACCCAAAUUAUAAGUAUAGCCUCAUAUUUAUGUGGAUUAGUCCUUUGGAAUGUUGUGUAAGACAAAACCAAAAAACUAACUCACAAAUCUUAUAUAGAUUAAUUGACCUGAUUGAUUUUUUUUUCAAAUCAAAUAUAGAACAAAUUAAGAGUUAAUUCAUCCAUAAGUUGAUAAUAAAAAUAUUAUUUUUUAAAUUUUGGUUUUGUAACAUCUCAUUAUCCAUCCAUAAAAUAAUUAAAAGGUUAUAAAAUAAAUAGAUGAAAAAAAUUAAAGAAUAAAAUUUAUUAAACAAAAUACAAUGUAUAAUUCUGAAAUUAGUUUAUGGUUGUAUGAAGAUUAGACUUUUUCUUAUGUAUGUCUCAGUUUGUAGUUUUCUUUUGGAUUUCUAUUUUAGAUGUUUUUCUUUCCUUUAAGGAUUAGAAGAAGUUUUUGUGAAUUUAUUUAUUUAUAUGUGUGAAAUUAAUUAAUUGGAUAUAAUUAUACUGUGACUUUAAUUAAUAGUAGAAGUUUUAUAUGGAUUGAGGCUGGGUCUUGGUUGGGCUUUAAUUUGGACAAAGGAAAGUGGGGUGUAAAUAGAAGGGUGGCAAUUUUGUUGUUUUCGAAAAUGGAAACCCCAAAAUUGUUUUUUUUUUCUUUAAGCAUCCUAAAGUUCCACAAAAACUCUUCUUCCUCUAAGGUUGAGUAAGCAACUAGGAAAACAUCCACAUCUUGCUAUAAUAACCAUAAGUAAGGCUUUUUUGUUUUCUUUUUGUGAAGAAAAAUCCAUAUAUGCAAUGGUUUGGGGAAAUUUUUUAUGUGGGGUUUUUUAGUUUCAUUUUGAGAUUAGGGUAAAAUUUUAUGUGUGUUUGAUGGUUAAGGUAAAAGGUAGAUGAUUAAAAAAUUCUUAUUUGUGGUGCUUCAAUCUUUUCCUUCUAGAGAAGAUUCCUUAUGUUACAAGCAUAAACCUAGGUAAGCAAGUUAGAAUUUACUCUUAGUUUAAAAAAAAGAUUUUGAAGGAUGUUUUGUCUUGGUUUUCAAAGGAUUGUAAUUUCAUGAAAAAUAAUGGAAUAGACAAAAUCUUUUCAAAGUUGAGAUAUUGAUUAAUUAUUUGUGUUAGGUAGGAUUUUGAAAUCUAAACAAUUGGUAGUUAAAACCUUGGUAGUUAAUUAGAUAUCAAUUUAUAAACUAUUUAUCAAAUAGUAGAAACUAAUUUAAAAACUAAUAUUUUUUUAGUAUCUAAAAUAUCUUUAAUUUAGUUAAUAUAGUAACUAAUUUUUUUUUUCUAUAAAAUUAGUUUUUAUUUAAUGAUUUUCUUGUAAUGGUGCAUUAGUUUAUGGAUGACAUGUGGAUGUGGAGUAUAUAUAUUAUCACAUGCAAAUAUGAAUGAAAUUGAAGAAAUGCCUAUUACUUGUUUGAAUGAAAAACUAUGGUUAAUGAUGAAUAUGCAAAAGAUUGAUAUCAAAAUUGGUGUUUUUCCUUUCCUUUAAUUAGCUUAUGCUAUCAUGAAUAGUAUAAAUGGACCAGUCAGGUUUUGAAAUUUAUAUAUUAAAUAGUUUGGCUAGUAGAAGGUGAGGGAAAAUGUUAAGAGAAUGUAUGGAAGACAAAAAAUAUUUUCCUCUUUCAGAAAAUGUUUAGAAAAAAUGAACUAUGAAUGAUCACCAUCAUCACAACAUAUCUCCAAGUUCUAUGAAUCCUUAUAAAUAAUCUAUGAAUAAGAUCCUCCCAUCAAUAGUGAGAUUUAAACUCUCAUUUACUAAAAAAAAUCAUUAUAAAAAACUAAUUUUAAAUAUAAAAAUAAUUACUCAUUAUACUAACUACAUCAAAUAUUAUUUUAAAAAUUAAAAAAAAUUAUUUCUAUUUAAAAUAGUUUUUAUUAAUAAAUAUAAUAGUUUCUUAGUAUUUAAUUUAAUAUCAAAAUUUUAACUAUCAAUUUUAUAAUCUAAAAUUUUGUUAGACAAUUAAAUAUUAAUUUAAAAACUAUUUAUUAAUAAUAAAAAUUAUUUUAUAUACUAAUAAUUUUUUUAGUCAAAAAUAAUAUCUAAUUAAAUUAAUAUAGUGAUUAAUUAUUUUUUUUAUUUUUAAAAUUAGUUGUAUUUAAUUAUUUUAUUGUAGUAAUUUAUGUAAGAUACUAAAUCAUGUUGGGAAGGAUGUGUUCAUAAUUCUUCAUUAUAUUAAUCAUUGUUUUUUAUGAUGAUUAAUCCUUAAAAGGACAUUCACAUAGGAUAUGAGUAAAGUAUGUAGCAAUUAAUAAAUUAGUUAGUAAAAUAUCUCUAUUCCUAAUAGAAGCAAUUGAAUGGGAUUAUUAUUCUUAGUUUAUUUUAUUUUUUUAUGUAUGAGAUGAGGAACAAAAAAAAUGGUGCAUAUUGAAUAAUGUGGCUCUGGCCUCCAUUAUAGGAAAAGGUAAAUAGUGGCAGAUGCAUGCAAAGUCAACUACACACGUGAACUUUUACCCUACCCUACAACAAUCAAUAUUUACAUUUUUUUUUAAAUAUAUUUUCAAAUCAUUUCUAAGUUCUCAAAAUCCUUUUUCAAAAUGCAUUUUCAUAUUGAGUUCCGAAUUUUCUUUUCUACCAUGUGAUGUAUUUUUUUCAUUCCAAAUUCAUUUUUACAGAAACUAAUUAUUUUUUAUCUUUAAAAUUAGUUUUUAAAAUUAGUUUUUAUUUAAUAAUUUUAUUGUAGUAUAAUUAAAUCUUUGACCAAAUUUUAUAAUAGUUGAAUCCAAUUUGAAAAGAAAUGAACAAUUAUGGUUUCAUUUACCCAACUUCUAUAAUUGACAUGUACCCAACUUGUUCAUUUAUUUUUUCUUUACUUCAAAAGAGGAAAAGAAAUAAACUAAGUUGGGCAAAUGUCAAUUAAAGUCCUAUAUCCAUUUGGAAAUAUGACACCAAAUUGUUUGGUACCAAAGCACAUAUAGAGAUGCAUUGACUUAAAAACAAAGGAAAAGUUGGUCGUAUAACAACAUCAAUUGAAAACAAAAAACAUGUAAAGAGAAUACAUGAAAAAAGUAUUUCCAUUCCAUUUCACACAUUUGUUUUUACUUUUGUUCCCCCCACUUACCAUUUUGUCAUCCUCCUUUUCCCUCUCUUUCUUGCUCAACAGAAAAGCUGAAGAACCUUCAAUGGUGCUCACACAACUGAUCUGGCUUCAUUCAUGUCAAAAUUUGGAGGAAGAGGUGACUAAGGACAACAGGGUGAACUGUCAUAUGUACCAUACUAUUACAGUGGUGAUCCAACUCUG